AGUGGCCUUACUAUGCUCAAGUCUCUUUGGUUAGAUACGUGCACAAGGCUCCAGUCACUUCCAAAGCUUCCAUCAAGUUUGAAGGAACUUGUUGCAAGAGAUUGCAAAUCACUGGAAAGAAUGACAAUUCCUUCAAACCUGUUGAAAUCAAUGAAUGUCAUGCAUCUAAGUGGUUGCGACAAACUGUUUAAGAUUGAUGGCGUGUUCCAGUUAGAACCCAUAGGGAGCUUUCAUCCAGAAAUCAUCAAGAAUUUGGGCUUGCUUGACUUGGUUUCCGAAGGAAACAUUGAGGUGGAAUUGUGCAAUAACUUGACAUUUACUCGAAAGAAGUGGCCCCUUCAGGGGCUCUAUGAAUUUGGUAUAUUCAGCACUUACCUUCCUGGCAGCAAGGUUCCAUAUUGGUUCAGCAAUAAGCGUUUGGAUUCUUCGAUGUCUUUCGUAGUGCCUUCUCUUCCUAAUUUCAAGAUAAGAGGCUUGAAUGUGUGCGUUGUUUAUGUAUGUUCACACUCUCAUAAAGAUGGAAAUUUGCAUGAUUUUUCUAUUAAGAUUAGUAACAAGACCAAGGGUCUGGAAUGGAUCUAUGGCCCGACAUUCCACGGCAAUGAAGAUAUGAUAUGGUUAAGCCAUUGGAACUUUAGGAAUCAGUUGCAAGCUGGUGAUGAAGUGAAUGUUUCAAUGGUUGUUGGAGUUGGUUUCAAGGUAAAGGAAUGUGGAACCGACUUUGUGUAUGAGCAUGAAGAGAAGUGUUCCCUAUCAAAUAGUGGAAUAGAAGUAGUCCAACAUGGCAACUUUCCUUCUUAUCAGAGUGUUAUAGAUGGAGAUUUGUCAGCAUAUCAGAGGACCGAAGGUGUGUAUCUCCUCUGCCAUUAUAAUCAAUAUCUGGACUUAUAUCCUCCUCAAAACCAUUCAAGUGAUUGAUGGGAUGUCCCCAGUGUUUACAAACCUCUUUGCUGCACAGUAGUAGCUACAGAUGAAGAGGAGGAAGAAGGUCAUGAAAAAGACAACAAUGAAGAGAUCAAGAUUUUGUAAAUUUUCAUAUCCUCCAUUCCUUGUUGAUCGCAGAGUUGCUUGGGCUUUUGUUAGCCAUUCCCAGCUUCUUACGAGUUGCCAUCAUUUUUGGUAUUUGAUUUACAAGAUUAUCAUUAUAUCCACCAAAUCACAUGUAU